GUUCUUUAAUCUUUCUCUCAAUUCUGAUUUUUGUGCUCCCAAUUUGUGUUCUAUCACAACCUGGUGCUUUUUCUCAAUUCUUUUUGGUUCAAUAUACAUUGCUAAAAUUCAAUUGUGACUGUUAUUCUGAAAUAUUAUUUGAUAGGAUGAAUUAGGAUUAUUAGAUACGAAAUUGAGCUUUGCUUUUUCUCCUUUAUUUAACGGUUAUAGAUAGAAGUAGGAGGUGAUUCUAUUUUGAGUGAAGUUAGAAGUAAAGUUAUACCUAAGGCUGCAACAUUUGUUAGACAGAAGUUUCAUUGGUUGGAUUAGGUUUGAGAUUUAUAGCUAUUAUACAUUUAUAAAACUGUUUUGACAUGGAUGAAUUAAGAUUUUUGUUUAUAUUUGAUGUAAAUCUUGUAUUGCCUUUAAUUUUCUAUAUUUAGUGAGUUAAAUGUAAUCUUAGCUGAUUGAAUGUUAAGGAUCUUAUCUUCUUCUAAUUAGGUGUGGUUUUAAAUUGUAUAAUUUUUAUUUUUUGGCUCUGUUUUAAUUUUUAUGGUUUAAAGCCUUAUUCAAAUCGAAUAUAUGUUUGAUGAAGUGAAAAAAAGCCUCUGCAUCUUGCAUUCCUUACGUCAAAGCCUUCUUGUUGAUACUGUCUCUGAGUCCUUGCUCUAUUCCUUCUUAUACAUAACUUCGGGUAGGUUGUAGGCAUGGUUAGAUUUGACAUAGUUAUUCUAAUGAAUGGUUGUAAUUAGGAUUUAGGUAUUAUUAAAUUGAUAAAAAUUAUUAGUAAACACAUGUUAAGUAGUUAAAUAGUUAAUACACACAUGUAGAGCAUCAAAUUGAGGAAUUGAGAUACAAACAAUGAAGCCACCAACACGCAGUGCCAAACUGACCCUUAUUACCAUCCAACAUGUUUCUCUAAUUUUGGCAUUUGCCACACAUUCUACUAUUACCCGGAAUUAAAUAAUGAGCUGUAUUCACCAAGGUAGUGAACGUGAUCAUGAUCAUCAUCAUAGAUACCGUGCACAUUAUAUAUAUCUAUGUUGGUAGUUAGCAACAGUAACUUUUUUGAUAUCUUGGGGUAGGGGGCUAAGAUGAAGGACAGGAUACCUGUAUAUAUAUCAUAUAAUUUUCCCUUGCUUUCUCAUCAAUUCUUCCCCCGCCAUGCACUCACUUUUCAUGAACAAUAAUGUUCCAAAUAUACAUACAAAUCACUUGUCAUAUAAUCAGAGAAAAGGUUUAUUAAGGCAUGAUUAAAUAUAAUUAAAUUAAUUCACUUGAUCAACUAAUAUUGCUGUCCAAAUUAAAGUGGCAAUCACUACGUAUCUCCCACCUGCAAUGAAUUUGAAUUAUCUAAAAUUGUUAAUUUUAAAAAUUAAUUUUUUUCAAGUUUAAAAAUUUCUGUGUUUUCUUGAUUUAUCCCUCCUUCUCAAGGUUUAGAAAAGCCUUUAAAAAUGAAUUAUCUAAAGUUAAACUACUUGAUAAUCAGAAAUGCGAUAACAGAUCAAACAUAUAUCAACAGGCAUACAUACGCAUUAUUUGACAGUAAAAUAUAUGGGCUUUUAGAACUGCUAUCAAAUUAAUUAAUUACUUUGAUAUGAUGGUACUUAGAAUAGAAUGUUAAAUUCGAAUGCAUAUCAAUUUUGUGUGAUACUUUCAUUUGUCUAACCUCAAUUUUUCUUUCAUUUAUAAUUGGUUUCUUUGAGUUAGAGGAUCUUGCAAAGCCCUCACCUGAAGAAGAUCUGUUUCCCCUUGUAAUAUGUGCUGAAACAAGGUCUUUUUCCUUAUGAAUUAUUUGUCAAGAUUUAUAACUCGAACAAGGGGGAGUUUAGCCCAUUUGGUUUUAUAAAUUGUGGGAACAGCUGUUAUGCCAAUACUCUACUCCAGUGCUUAGAAUUUACACCAUCUCUGACUGUAUAUUUUCUUCGAGGACUACAUUCUAAAACAUGUGCAAAUAAAAAAUGUUUCAACUAUGAGUUUGAAAGUUUGAUUUUGAAGUCAAAGGAUACAAAAUAUCCACUCUCUCCUAAUGACAUACUCUCCCAACUAAGGAGUACCGGAAGUCAACUUGGUAAUGGCAAAGAAGAAGAUGCACAUGAAUUUCUAAGGCAUGUCAUUGACACAAUGCAAUCUGUUUGCCUUAUGGAUGCUGGGGUUGAUGUAUCUGGCUCAUUAGAAGAGGACACUACUUUAAUUGGUCUAACAUUCGGGGGCUAGUUUGGAUCAAAGAUAAAAUGCAUGAAAUAUGGAGAAAAAUCUCAGCGUUAAGAAAGGAUAAUGGAUCUUAUCGUUGAGAUAGAAGGGGACAUAGCAAGCCUGCAGGAAGUUCAUUUUGAGUUUAUAGGCUUGUAGUACCUUUUGUUGUUUAAUUUUAUAACAUGAUUUAUUAUUUUUCAAGAGAAAUUUGUGUAUUAAUAUUUUGAGUUUAAUAAAAUAUCUCAUUUUGUAGUAA